UACGUAGGGUGCGAGCGUUAAUCGGAAUUACUGGGCGUAAAGCGUGCGCAGGCGGUGAUGUAAGACAGAUGUGAAAUCCCCGGGCUCAACCUGGGAACUGCAUUUGUGACUGCAUCGCUGGAGUGCGGCAGAGGGGGAUGGAAUUCCGCGUGUAGCAGUGAAAUGCGUAGAUAUGCGGAGGAACACCGAUGGCGGAAGGCAGCCCCCUGGGCUAACACU
rnacentral:rRNA from 1 species